GGUUCAGGAAAUGGCAACCAAAAUUUUAAAGUAGGUGGAGCAACUCCCCGAUGAGGAAAAGGUUGCAGCAGUUGGGCUUUCUACCAGUGCAGUAGCAAGGUCUACACACGGAUCGUUACAUGGUGUACCGUCACUGCUUUCCUAAGCUCUGAUCAAACCAAGUUAAGUGUGUAGAAUUUAAUGGUAAUUUAAUGCCUUGGAUUUUGAUUUGUAGAAUAUGGGAGUUUUUCUUUAUGUGCCCGGUAUUUUGAAAGCUGAGAGCACCAUGCAGUUAAAACAUACACAGAAUGGAGAAAACUGGGGCACCGCAAUGCUCAAAGCUUUUGUUGGUCGUUUGUUUAAAUACAAGUCUUGUUGCUUAGUUGCUACCUAUUUAGUUUCAUGGUUCAUGAAGACCUGUUGCAACCCAUGAAGAGGAAAACAUAAAAAGCAGUCCGCUUAGAGCACUCCCCUUUAUUAUUCAUCCCUUUAACUGUACAGAAUUAACUGUAUUCGUUGGCCUAAUUUCUUACCCAUAACUCUAUCUCAGUACUGUAGUAACGUUGGCAGCUUUUGUGAUUGACCUAAAUAAAAGGUCUGGUACAUCUGCAGCAAACAAUAUGUGAUUGGGGGUGGGGGUGGAAGUAAGGAGUCUAUAGUCCGCAACCUUGCAUAAUUAUUUUGCUGCCUCUGGUCCUCCUUGUUUUUCCUCGGGAUUAACAUUUUUUACAUGCAGUUUUAAUGUCUGGUUUCUGUAAGCCUGAGCCUAUGAAAUGUAAAUGUCUUUUAGUGAGAUUUGGGUUGUUGCUUCCCUCCUUUUACUCACGUGUUUGCAUAUUUGCCUUCCUGUUUCCUGUGACAUUUAAAAAUGGGAAAGCCCCCUUUGUAGGUUGACAUUCUGAAUUUUAAAGGAUUAUCCGGAGGACAGGGGAGAGAGACUACUGUCAAAGCCUUGAAUGCUCCUUCACAUGGACAUAUGUGAUGAUUUGUAAGUGUGAAAUAACCGCUGCAGAUCAAACACCACAAAGUUUGCGCAUUUCCUUUAAAAAAAAACCACACACACUACAGUGAAGACUAUUCACAUCUUGGAGGUGUUGCGUGCUCUGUUCUUAAUGUGGUAUUUAAUUUGCUUUGAUUGCAUUCUUUCAUUUCAGAUUUACUUUGGGUGACAUCUAAUGGUAUUGGGUGACAUCUAAUGGUAUUUCAGCUUGCACAGUAGAACUUUCCCUUCUUCCCCUUGUAGUCCCCCAAGGUGGGGAGAGCCUUUGAAGCAAAUUUGGGGGUUGUGUGAGAGGCUUGGGGGAGGGAAGUAUUGUCAUGUUCAUUUGCACAACACUGGAUAUCAUGCAUUGCUUUUUACUGUACAUGGCCCAGAGAUCUUUGUUUUAUAGGGUGGCAUAUAAAUGCCAAAAACAAUGCGUUUGAUGCUUAUGCUAUAGCAGUGCUCCAAAUUAGUUGGCUCUGUCAUGGAAUUCAUAUCAGAAUUGCAAAUCCAGGGCUAUAGCAAGGUGCAUACCUGUCUUGUAGCGUGUACCUUCUUUUCCAAGAUGCUGCAGCUAACUGCUUCCCCCCUUCUUGUAACAGCUGCUGCAGUUAGUGUCUUUUUCAGUAUUAUAAGUUUAUUAUGCUAAAUUUGUUUUCUAAACAGAUGGAAAACCCAGUUCAUUUUGCUUGUCCUUAAGUUGUGUUUCUAUUGCACAUGCAAGGAGGUACAUCAUAUCUUCAUAUAAAGAAGUUACCUGUUUUGAUAGAGGAAGUUUGUUUUAGGCUUGCUAGCCCGCCCGCCCACUCUUAGCAAUCUCUGUUGAGGAUAGGACUGUUAAAUUAUUAAAUCUAUUCUGAUUAUUAUUAAAUUCACAGACCAAUAAUAGUUGGUGCAAAUAGCCUCAGUGGCGAGAAGUGCCUUUUACCAGCUGCACCUGCUGUGAUCAUUCCUGGACCCAGAGAAUUUGACCACCGUGGUUCAGGCGACUUCAAUAUUGUAUUACUGUGGGGUUUCUCUUGUGCUUGGCCUGGAAACUAGUUAGUGCAAAAUGCUGCAGCACAGUUGCUGACAGGAAAGGCACCUUUGCUCACAGAUCUGCACUGGUUGCAGAUUUGUUACCAGGCCAAGUCCAAGGUAUAAAAAGACCUUAACUGGUACUGUUACUAGUGCCACAAAAUACUUGCUCAGCAAUUGUAAAUAUUCAGUCUUUUAGUGUGGCAGCACCUACACUUUGGAACGCUCGACAUCAGGUAGAAACCUUCGCUCUACUCUUUGUUUUUGCAGGACUAUCCAGACAUGUAGAUGCUGACAUACUUUUAAUUUUUUUUGGUUAAUUUUAAUUAUUUUAAAAUGCUUCAUUGUUUCAGCUGUUUAUUGAUACUUUGUGUAUUUCUUAUGAAGAGUUUAGAAGUUUUCCUACAACAAAGUGUAUAUAAAUUUUAUUUUAAAAAUUACACAAUGAAAAUAAUGAUCAUCACAGAGGAUCCAAAGAGUUCCUUACCAUUUGCUUCCUAAUUUGUGUUCAAAGUUUAAAAUUGAAUUUUUCGGUGGCAUAGGAGGGUGAUCCCUUAAACAGAAAGAUGGUUUUGUAGGUAUUCCAGGCUGUGUUCUUAAUAAAAGGAAAAGUCAGCUUCUAAGGCCUCCUUUAUACAAUUUACAAUAUAAAAGGACAUAACCCAUGGAUUCUACCUUUCUAGUUCCACAUUGACAUUCAUUAGGUGCAAUUGUAUUAAAUCAGCUGAUAGAAAAACAGAGGGCAGACCAUUAAGAUGAAUAAGCGUAAAUGCCUCUCGUAAAUUGCAUUAAGAAUGAAAGGAAAGAAAGGCACAUACUGAUGUCCCAACUUUGAAACUGAAUCCC